rnacentral:lncRNA from 1 species
GGGAAACGCAACCUUAGUGCGGACAAAAGUUGUAAUAGUAGGGAAAAAAUGGAGAGAAGGAACAACAGGGAAGAAGAAGAAAGAGUAGUUGCUGGAACAACUUUGACAAGAAAAAGUGAGAAAAGAUAAGCUUUUGAUAUUACUAUUUACAAUCAAGAAAGAAGGGAGAAUUGAAACCGUAUUGUAGCUUCAAGCGAAACAAUUCUUCGGCACAAAAAGGUCAAUUUCCCCUUUCUUUGAUUCUUCUUCAAUUUUACGGUGGAUUUCUUUAAAUCCCGAUUUAUGUAUUUGUAGGAUUCCAUCGGGUAUUGAAUAUUUAAUUUUUUUUUAAAAAUAUUAUGGACAACAAUUCUAUUUAUGUUUCAACUUAUAUGCAUGACUACAAAAAUUGAAUAGUACAAGGUAUAAACUGUAUAAAUAAUUUUUUUAAUAUAAAACUUUAGACUAAUUUAAAUUACUCAUACCAUGGGUAAAUAUAAUUAGACAAAUUGAUGAUAAAACAUAAAACUCCAAGGAUAGGGUAUUCUAUAUCAGUGAUGAAUUAGCCUAAAUGAGGCAAUUGACACGAGAUUAAUAUUAUGUGAUUAUAGAUUCAUUGGAGGAAGUUGUACGUUUGCUCGAGGUGAAGCAUUUGGUAUUUCAUCACGAGUACUGUUAGUAGUAAUCUUACCAUAAUUUGUGUUGUUGUGCGACUGCUCGAG